GGCACCUCCACUGAGCAGUGGUGAGGGACGGUCACAUUUUGGAGCCCCAAUGGAACCCUUUGGCCGUCACAGACUGAGUGGCUCAAACACAGAGAGUGGCACUGUCCUCUGCCCUGGAGGCUCGACGUUCAAGACCAAGGUGUCACAGGGUGUUUCUUCUGCGGCUUCUCUUCUUGGUCCAGAUGGCCAUGGGCUCCCUGUGUCCAACCUGGUUUUCCUUCUGUGUGUGGCCUCACGUCCCCUUCUCACCAGGACGCAGGUGAGACUGAGUGGGAGCCCAUCGCCUCUUUAGAGGGCCUGUGCCCAAGGAGUCAUCAGGCUGGGAAUGAUGGUGGAGGGGACCCAGGGACAAAGUCUGGUGGAGGUGUCUUGGGACAUGAGACUUGCUGCUCAGUGGGGUGAAUCCAAGGUGGUGGGUCCCUUAAGGGGCGGGGCUUGGUGGGAGGUCUACUCUUGGAAGAGAUUAAGGUGGUUCUCAUGGGACCCUGAGCUCCCGUAGGCUCCAGAAGAGCAAGCCUGAGCCAGGCGUGGUGGCACCUGCCUGUAAUCCUAGUGACUUGGAAGGCCAAGAAUCCCAAGUUCAAGGCCAUCCUCAGCAACUUGGCAAGACCCUGACUCAAAAUAAAAAUUAAAAAGGGGCUGGGGGGUAGCUCAAUGGUAGAGUGUUCCCGGGCUCCAUCCCAUUACCUAAAAAAAGGCCGGCCACUGCCUGGCUGCUCUGACUUCCUGUCUGGCCCUGUGAUUGUCC
rnacentral:lncRNA from 1 species